GUCACAGCUCUUGGACAAUCAAAGCUUCCUGGUGUGAGCAGAUCGGGGUCUCGCGCCUGCGGCUUUCCCUGCGGGGUCGCUCUGCUCAGCGAGGGUCCCGCCGGGCUGCUGCAGCAGCUCCCAUGGCACCAGGGAGCGGGGCCACCCCUGGGGGCAGCUGGCGCACAGGUUCCCGCCGGUGGGGGUGGGGGCCGGUGUCGCCCCCAGGAACUGCCUGCACCUGUUGCGAGCCACCUGUCUCACCUCUUAUUCUUGCUGGCGGUUUUCCCGCCGAGGUGGCCGCGUGCGGCACUGGCCAGGGUGCUGAGGGCGAGGGGCCGGGCUGUGCCUCUGCCGAGCGUCACAGCAAGCAGCCGCGGGUGCCUGUGCCAGCGGAGGCGUGCGACGGAGGCGCACGUGUGCAAGAGCACCGACGAGCGCGUUGUGGCUGGAGGUGCAGAUAGGAUUCCGCAUUUCGUGGCCGUGGUCUUGUGGCUCCCAGCGGCCCUGCCUCCGGUUCUGUUCUGAAAGCGUGGGGCCCACGAGGCCUCUCUUUUGGGCCCGGGUGGCAGCCUUGGCUCCGGGAAUCGGCUGGUUUUCCACUUACGGGGCAUCUGCGGGCUGCCACGUUGCUUUGCAAGGCCACUGACAGCAAAACAUCGUGGCAGGGGGAUUGCGAGAGACAGCAGCCACUCAUUCGAAUGAGCCGCUGUUCCACGCCCGGGGAGGGCCCCGCCUGGCCGCCUCUGGGGUCCCGGAGCUGACCUCAUGCCGGCCCUGCAGGGCGAGUCUCCUCACGGCAGACUGAGAACGCCGGGCCGGGCCAGUGCAGAGCCCCCUGCAGGCUCUGCGGGAGCCGGGGCGCCACGCGUGUGGGUGGCGGCCCCCAGGAGGUCUGCACUCGGGCAUCAGGGAAUGUCUACGCAACCGAGUAAAAGCGGUUGAGCUUAGCGAGUUACUUAAGCGUGGGGUGGUGUGAUUGUGUGGCUCACAUAUUGUCUUUCUGUCCUCAACACUCAGCCAGAGUGUGCAGUUGGAAACUCCGCCCCCCCCCCACGUGCACAGAGCAGCUGGGGCCUUUGCGUACGGUGGGGAGGGGGCAUCCCAGCACCCGAGCACCCCUCGUACUUCCGUCUCCCUCUCCUCUGGGGCGGUGCCUCUGAGAGCCCGCGUGGGACUUCCCUCAGCACAGCACUGCGGCGGCCGCGUGGUCUGCCCGCAGCGGGCGGUGGGCUGCACUGCUGCUCCCUCUGACGUGCACGGGUUUCCUGCUGUCUGGGGGAACCCGUGCAGAAACCAAGCACCCCCGAUGAAGACGCCGCUGGCAUCUAGUGUGUUCUAGACAUGCACAAACCUUGUCCAGAAUGGGAAGACUCCGCCUGGCUGCCCACAGCCACUCAGAAGUUUCUGGAACUUGGCUUGAACGUGAUGGGCACAUCAGUGGGGCCGACCGCCAGGCCUCCUCAGCUGCACCCUCUGCAGCCAGGGCACCCGGACCGCAGGCCCUGGGUGGUGCCAUCCGGGGGACGUGAGCCCAGCUCUGCCUGCACUGCUGUGGGCCAUCAUCGCUGCUCAAUGUGUUAGCAGUUUCCCAAAACUGGGUGUGAGACGCCCGCCCGCUGAGAGCCGUGCGUUAGCCUUCCGACGAGUGAGUCCGCCGAUUAGCAAGGCCUCAGGAAUGUCUGCCGGCCCCUCCAGGCUGCCUGGCUCCUGCUGUCUCUCUGCACCUCUCAGCACGUCAGGUCACCGCGCGGCGGCUCGCACCUUCAUCCCUGACCUGAAGCGACUUUGUCUCCCCUGCUCUGUCCUCCCCUGGAGCCGCAGGGUCUGGGUUCGGAACACGUUCGUCUCCUCCCUGACGCUCCAGUGCCAGCUCCCCGGGUGUGAAUCUUUUUAAGAUUAAUUAAUUUAUUUGAAAAUCAGAGAGAGAGAGAGAGAGAGAGAGAGAGAGAGAGAGAGAAGAACGAUCUUCCAUCUACCGGUUCACUCCUCAGAUGGCUGCAACAGCCAGGGCUGGGCCAGGUCAAAGCCAGGAGCCAGGAGCCUCAUCCAGGUCUCCCAAGAAGGUGGCAGGGCCAGUCGCUUGGGCCGUCCAUGCUGCUUUCCCUGGUGCAUUAGCAGGGAGCUGGCACAGAAGCGGAGCAGCCGGGACUCGGAGUGCCUGCAGGGUGUCAUGGGCGGGGCCUUACCUGCUACAGCACACCAGCCCCCAGGGUGUGACUCUUCCUGGGGUCUCACGGAACGUAUCCGAGGGCAAGUCUGUCACCCAGCCACAGGUGGAGCUGCUGGGAGUCCCUCUGGGCCCAGAGCAGUUCUAGCUCUUGGCAGGUGUCUGAGCACAAGUCAGCCUGGGAGUGCAGCCUCGUGGGCAGCCAAAGCAGCCUGGUGCCUGUGGACUUACACCCCGAUGUCACGUGGUGCCCAUGGGCUCACACCCUGACAUCACGUGGCACCUGUGGGCUCACACCCCGACGUCAUGUGGCACCCACGGGCUCACACCCCGUCACGUGGCGCCUGUGGACUCACACCCUGACGUCACGUGGUGCCCGUGGACUCACACCCCAACAUCACAUGGUGCCCGUGGACUCACAUCCUGACGUCAUGUGGUGCCCAUGGACUCACACCCCGAUGUCAUGUGGUGCCCGUGGACUCACACCCUGAUGUCAUGUGGUGCCCGUGGACUCACACCCCGAUGUUACGUGGUGCCCGUGGUCUCACAUCCUGAUGUCAUGUGGUGCCUGUGGUCUCACAUCCCGAUGUCACGUGGUGCCCGUGGACUCACACCCCGCCUGAUGUCACAAGGUGCCCAUGGACUCAUACCCCAACGUCACGUGGUGCCCGUGGACUCACACCCUGAUGUCACAAGGUGCCCAUGGACUCAUACCCCGACGUCAUAUGGUGCCCAUGGACUCAUACCCCGACGUCACGUGGUGCCCGUGGACUCACGUUGCUGGGGCCUUCUCUCCGGGAGGGCGUCUCCAGGCUUCCUCGGGCACGGGGCAUCUGCGGGGGGCAGGUGAUGACGGCCGUGUCCUCGCCUCUGGACUCCGCCCGCUGCCUGCCUGUGUGGGGAGCCCUGGAGCCUGGGGGCGAGCCCGAGGUUCUGAGGGCAUUAGCAGGCAGCAGAAUCAGCCGCAGAGCUGGGGCUGGGCCCAGGCAUCUGAUUUAGGAUGUGGGUAUCUCUAGUGGUGCCUUUACCCACGGCACCACCCAGAGGGCAGUGAAACCCCCGGCCCCGCGGUGGCCUGGACCCCCACCUGCUGCUGCUCCCACCUGCCCUGGCUUUGCCCGCAGCCGCGCUGUCCAGUGCAGGCUCCUUCCUGUCUCAGUCACAGAGGGGUCCCAGGGCUGGGAUUGAGCUGCACGGCCACCUGUGCCCUCAGGUGUCUCAGUCACCCCUCCUGUCUCAGAGCACAGCUCUAAGACUGCCCCCCUCAGACACCGUCUGCCUGCCCAUGGCCUAACCCUGCCCAUCGCCCCUCCUUCGCCGAGAAACGCAGGUCCCUGCACCCCACCAUGGGAGGAGGCGGCCUUUUCCUUCCCCCUUCAGCCCCACGCACCUGCUGAGCUCUCCUGCGCUGCCCCACCAGCCCAGCCCUUGUCGCUCGUCCAGCCCUGGCCCAGCCCCGUGUCUUAGACUUCUCAGCUGGUGCUGGAGUGAGCUUCCAGGGCGAACAGCCACCCUGGCGUCAGGAGAAUGCACCCCCCCCAACGUGUCCCUGAGCUGACAGGCGAGGGGCCCUCAGCAACAGUGGGGGGGGGGGGUCCACGGGCGGGGAGACAAGAGACAGGCUCGGGGCGGAGCCAUUUGAUUAAAAUUUCUAUUUGAAUUAAGUCUAUUUGAAUUCACUAUAGAAAUGAUCGCACAUUCUUAGACAUUCUGGCACUUACUCUGCCUGCUUUGGGAAGGGUUUCUCCCUCAGGAUCAGAACCCCUGCGAGGAACUGUUCCCGAAGGCAGAUUCCCCACAGAGGGGCUGCCCAGCCCCGCAGGGAGAGCCAGGCGCAGCGGGCUGAGAUACCUGAUACGUGAUGCGUGGCUUACCACACCUGAGACAAGGCGUGGCCUGUGGUGUUCCCUCACCGGAAGCGCCUCUGGGAUCCAUACCAGGCACAGUCGGGCCAGGUCCCUGGCACAGCCAGCAGAGCCCACCUCGAAGCAGCUCAGGGGGGCACGGGUGGUCAUGCAGCUCAAUCCCCGGACCCCUGGGGCCCCUCUGCCCGCCUCAGUCUGUGCUGUGGGGCGAGGCUGGCGGCUCGUGGUUGGGAGGACUGGGGCGCGGCCACGGUCAGCUCACAGAACGGCGCCGAUGACCUGGUGGUACCUGGCUCCCGGCGCCACGCCGCUCUCUCCCUGGAAGCAGGGCGCUGCUUCCAGUGUGCCGAGCUCACACGCCUGGUCUGACUCCCAGCUGCCGCCCGCAGGGCCACCAUCCUCAACCUACAGACAAGGACACUGACGUCAGAGAGGCUGAGAACUUGCCGUGGUCACAGGUGGCGGGGGCUGGGUGGCGGACGGCGCCUCCUCUACCCGUGCUGUGGCUGCAGGACAGGCCCUGUCACCGAGAGCUCCUUUAGGAGCUGGGAGGGCAGCCACUGCCCUGAGAGCUCACCUCCCACCGUCAGCCCGCCCCCACCCCUGCACCGCCCGCCAGCCGCUGCAUCCACGGGGCAGCAGGCCUGGAGACCCGGGCAGCGGGGCCUGUGCUAAGGACCAGGCGGUUUAAGGAUUAACCUGAUCCCCUGCACGUCCCCUCUGCCUCCCUCUGCCUCCCUCUGCCUCCCUCUGUGAACCGUGGGCAGAGCGUGCGAGACUGCACCCAGCCGAGUCCGCACCUGAGCGUCUUCCUGCCGAGUCAUGGAGAGCCCCCGCGUUCCUCUCCCUAAACCACGUCCCCAGUGACGGCGGCCCAGGGGCGAGAUCAGGGCAGCUCGGAGGCUUUGGGAAGGUGACUCGUGGACGGCCACUGAGCACUGCGCAGGGCCUGAGGUCGGGCCAGCAAGGCGGCUGAGCGGCUGCACAGCGCAACGGCCUGGGAUGCGCCGUUCCGGAGCUGAGGGCUCUCGACCCGGCGUCCCCGGGCACCGCCAGCCGGUGGGGGACUCGUGGGGAAGUGAGUGGGCGGGGGGCCGCUUCCGGUCCCAGUGCCAGGCUCAGCCUCACAGGCAGGAAGCGCAGCAGCGUCCCCAGUCACUAGCGCUCAGUGACGUGAGAAUCAGAGGAGAGGCCACCAGCGAUGUCAUGAACUCCCUGGGGAAGACGUCACCCUUCUUCCCGAGAGGCAGGGUGGCCCAAUGGCGAGAUCUGAGAAACUUUGGGGACGCCCACGCGAGGCCGAGGCCUGGUCUAGGGGCCUUGACACUGUGAAAUCAGGUUAGGGCCGAACCUCGGACACGGCUCCCAGGAACAGGCAGCAAUGCAAGGACCGAGACCCCGGAGCCCCGGGUCCUGCACCUGCAGGCCUGGGGUUGGCAGCCUGCAGUGUCGGGGGCUCGGGGAGGUGAGGCCGCCCACUCGGAGACCAAAUGUGCCAGUGCACGGCCUGAGAGCGCGGCGGGGAUACGGGUCA